rnacentral:rRNA from 1 species
GAGUUUGAUCCUGGCUCAGGACGAACGCUGGCGGUGUGCUUAACACAUGCAAGUCGAACGGAAAGGCCCCGCUCGCGGGGUACUCGAGUGGCGAACGGGUGAGUAACACGUGGGUGAUCUGCCCUGCACUUCGGGAUAAGCCUGGGAAACUGGGUCUAAUACCGGAUAUGACCUCCCUUUAGUGUGGGGGGUGGAAAGAUUUAUCGGUGCAGGAUGAGCCCGCGGCCUAUCAGCUUGUUGGUGGGGUAAUGGCCUACCAAGGCGUCGACGGGUAGCCGGCCUGAGAGGGUGGACGGCCACAUUGGGACUGAGAUACGGCCCAGACUCCUACGGGAGGCAGCAGUGGGGAAUAUUGCACAAUGGGCGGAAGCCUGAUGCAGCGACGCCGCGUGGGGGAUGACGGCCUUCGGGUUGUAAACCUCUUUCGACAGGGACGAAGUGAAAAUGACGGUACCUGUAUAAGAAGCACCGGCUAACUACGUGCCAGCAGCCGCGGUAAUACGUAGGGUGCGAGCGUUGUCCGGAAUUACUGGGCGUAAAGAGCUCGUAGGUGGUUUGUCACGUCGUCUGUGAAAUUCCGGGGCUUAACCUCGGGCGUGCAGGCGAUACGGGCAAUACUUGAGUGCUGUAGGGGAGACUGGAAUUCCUGGUGUAGCCGGUGAAAUGCGCAGAUAUCAGGAGGAACACCAAUGGCGAAGGCAGGUCUCUGGGCAGUUACUGACGCUGAGGAGCGAAAGCAUGGGUAGCGAACAGGAUUAGAUACCCUGGUAGUCCAUGCCGUAAACGGUGGGCGCUAGGUGUAGGGGACUUCCACGUUCUCUGUGCCGUAGCUAACGCAUUAAGCGCCCCGCCUGGGGAGUACGGCCGCAAGGCUAAAACUCAAAGGAAUUGACGGGGGCCCGCACAAGCGGCGGAGCAUGUGGAUUAAUUCGAUGCAACGCGAAGAACCUUACCUGGGCUUGACAUACACCGGACCGGCGUAGAGAUACGUCUUCCCUUGUGGCCGGUGUACAGGUGGUGCAUGGUUGUCGUCAGCUCGUGUCGUGAGAUGUUGGGUUAAGUCCCGCAACGAGCGCAACCCUUGUCUUAUGUUGCCAGCACGUGAUGGUGGGGACUCAUGAGAGACUGCCGGGGUCAACUCGGAGGAAGGUGGGGAUGACGUCAAAUCAUCAUGCCCCUUAUGUCCAGGGCUUCACACAUGCUACAAUGGUCGGUACAGCAGGUCGCGAACUCGUGAGAGUAAGCCAAUCCUUCAAAGCCGGCCUCAGUCCGGAUUGGGGUCUACAACUCGACCGCAUGAAGUCGGAGUCGCUAGUAAUCGCAGAUCAGCAACGCUGCGGUGAAUACGUUCCCGAGGACCUUGUACACGACCGCCCGU